rnacentral:lncRNA from 1 species
AGUGUUUAGCAUGACAUCACUGAACCUCAGGCACGCUCCGUACACAGGCCACUUUCUUUGGUAGGUCUUGCCUGUCACAGUUUACCCUCUGUCCAACUGAGAACAGAGAACCAGCAGAGAAGUGCCCAUUGUCCCGAGCCAGAGCUGCGGGGAGGAGCCUGCAGACUUCCAGUGUGAGAUGCUUGGCUCUCCAGCCUUGGGAGCUUCCUGGUGCUCUUCGUUCUUCCAGCUGCAGUUCUUCCUCCUGGACCUCUGCACACUCACCUUGUGCUGUAGACUCCACAGACACUGCUCUUGGCACUUUCUGGAAGCCUUCGGCUGCCUCCUGAAGGACGAGUGAACUGAGGGCGUAGAGCCUCAGGGCUUUCUUUCUCCAGUUGUCUUGUAGCUGCUAUUCCUGGGUGCCCGGAACUGGGAGCUCACUCUAAAGAAACAAGUGGACCACCAAGAAGAGGCCUUUACUGACCCUACACAGGGAUAGGAUUAUAUAGGAGAAGCCCCCUAGAUUAAUCUGUCUACACUGAGAAGUAGUCUGCUCGUCCGAAACAGGACGGGGUGGGGGGGGCGGCUAUAAUGUGGUCAGCAGUGGACUUGAAUGUGCAUAGCUCCCAUUCACACUUCUCUUAAGACUCAUUUAAGAGCCAGCUGGCAGGGCACGCCUUUAAUCCCAAAACUUGGGAGGCAGAAGUGGAGCUCUGCAAGUUCAGGGCCAGCCUGGCCUACAGAGUUAGUUCCAGGACAGCGAGAGCUGUUAUACAAACCCUUUUGCAAACAAACAAACAAAAUAAAAAAACACAGAGAGACAGAAAGACAGACAGACAAAGACUCAUUUAAGGACCAAUCACAAGCCUGGCACUUCACCAGUCAGGCACUUCAGGUGGUUCUUUGUCAAGCUGCUCCUGUGAGCCGGGUCAUCUGAGGUUCUACUGAGGCUUGCCUGGCCUGGACCGGAGUUUCCCAAGGUGCCUGGGGUGGUGGUGACUGAGUGUCCUGUCCUCUGCUGCCAGAAAGCUGACAUGGGAGGAGACCAGGCCAAGAGAACCAGGCACCGGACAAGGCUCUGUCUUCUUCCUUAGGAUACCGCCACACUCCUACGAAUGAGGACAUCCUGUCCCCACAGAUAUGACCUGUUCCCCCUGCACCACUACCCCCCACAACCUGUAUCUAAGGAUCUCCUUCACUUUCGCCUUCACGACCCAGUCAAGGUGUCAAGUAGUUCAUAGGAUCUCGCUCUCAGUAGAGCUCAACGUUUGAAGCGUUUGUUAGAGAACGGAUCAAUGCUGAGCCGACCACUGACCCUUUACCACCACGGAUUCACUUGGCUUUCAAAAUCCAAGGCUGCAGGCUGGAGUCAGCUCUUCAGACUUGACUUACCCACCAGGGACAAAGCUCUCAAUAUUCCAUAUCCAAGCUGUGGUAGCUCCAUAGCAGGUGGCGGCCCUUGGGGAUCUCCUUUGUGUUACAGCCUCACCUGAGAAUGGGGUGGGUACCACAGCACCCGUGGUUUACACCGGAGAUGGAUGAAGAAGGUCCUACAGGGAACUCUGAGUGGUAAAGUCCACGGACGGUUGUGGCAGAGAAGGAGCUAUUUCGAGGUUCGUUCUACACGAUGCUGCUCAGGGAAAUGAGAGUAGCCAUGGCCCUGCAGGGUACUCGGUGUUGGGGUCUCCUGACACUGACUUUGGUUGCAUAUUCUUGGGAAGAGGAGGCUAAUGAGCCCUAACAGAAGACAAAGACACCACACACCCUCAACAGCAUGCACAGAGUUGUCUUGUUGCUUAAAUAUUAGAAUAGGGAGUGCCGAUACCACCCCGCACUGCCACAAAGCUGUGGGUGCAACCCCCAGGGUCUACUCUACUCCAUCGGUCCGAGAGUGUUUGGUGAAAAUGUGGGCUGUGAUAAGUGGAUAUUAACCCAGAAACUUAGACUACCCAAGAUACAAUUUGCAAAACACAUGAAACUCAAGGAGAAGGAAGACCAAAGUGUGUAUACUUCGUUCCUUCUUAGAAUGGGGAACAAAAUACCCAUGAAAGGAGUUACAAAGACAAAGUUCGGAGCUAAGACAGAAGAAAGGACCAUCCAGAGACUGCCUCACUCGGGGAUCCAUCCCGUAUACAACCACCAAACCCAGACACUAAUGCAUAUGCCAGCAAGAUUUUGCUGACAGGACCCUGAUAUAGCUAUCUCUUGUGAGGCUAUGCCAGUGCCUGGCAAAUACAUAAGUGGAUGCUCACAGUCA